rnacentral:rRNA from 1 species
UACGUAGGGUGCAAGCGUUGUCCGGAAUUAUUGGGCGUAAAGAGCUCGUAGGCGGUCUGUUGCGUCGGCUGUGAAAACCCGGGGCUCAACUCCGGGCCUGCAGCCGAUACGGGCAGACUAGAGUUCGGCAGGGGAGACUGGAAUUCUUGGUGUAGCGGUGAAAUGCGCAGAUAUCAGGAGGAACACCGGUGGCGAAGGCGGGUCUCUGGGCCGAUACUGACGCUGAGGAGCGAAAGCGUGGGGAGCGAACAGG